GGCUAGAACCUAAUCUGUGUUGGAACGUUGCAAGGAGGACAUGUUGCUGGCAAUACCUUUUGUUACUUUUGCUGUAUGAUGUUUGUUGGGACAGACUGAGAAAGAGGUUCAAAUGCUUCACGGAGUGAUGAUAGCCAUCUUCCAACUCUGCUGCUCCUGUGCCUGCAACAUGGGACAUUUCUGGGAGAAAGAGGACUGAGACUGUGAAUGUGUUUUGCCUUGAGUCAGUCACUGAGUCUUAGUUAGACGGACAGACGGACGGACGGAUGGUUGAACAGACCAGCUUCCAACAUUCUCUCAC